CAAAAACUGUUCGCGCUUGUCAUAGAUGUGGUGGACAACAUGCACCUGCAAGUUGCCCUUUCUUGACUAGCCGCUGCUUUAAGUGUUCAAAACCAGGACACGUAGCCAAAAUAUGUAAGACAAAGGUCGUGCACAAGUUUGAGGAGACAGUGAAAGAGAAAGACUUGCUUGAAAAUUGUAAAGCGAACAAUGCUAGAAGUCCGCCUCCCAUCGUUGUUAGGCUGAGGUUGAACGGUAAAGAAAUUCCAAUGGAAUUACAUACCGGCGCUGCUGUGACUAUAAUGUCGGAAAAAGACUUUGCCGAGCAUUACCCAAAUACAGCAUGCCGGAACGAAGAUGUCAAUUUCGGAGUGUACAAUGGUACUUCCAUUGGCGUAAAGGGAGUCGCGCAGGUAGAAGUUAGCUAUGGGAAUCAAACCUAUCACUUGACACUCGUCGUUGCGAGACAGGAAAACGGUGCUAGUAUGCCGGCUCUUCUGGGUCGUGACAGGCUCGCGAAAAUUAAAAUAGACCUGCAUGACGCCGUGCAGAAUCUACACGAAGUUGUGCUUAACGUACAAGCGGUAAGAAACACGGAAACAGAGGAGGCAGAAAAAUGCCUAAAAGAGCAGUAGGCUGACAUGUUUGAGCCCAGGUAUGGAGCUAUCAAAGGUUUCAAAGGUAGCCUUAGGUUAAAAGCCGACGCAAAUCCCUUUUUUUCUAAGGCGAGACCUGUUCCAUAUGCUUUGCGCGAGCAGGUGGAAAAAGAAUCAGCAGAUUUAGAAAAAGCCGGUGUCAUUUACCGGGUCAGGCACAGUACGUGGGCCACGCCUCUAGUGAUCGUGCCGAAAAGUGGUGGCGGAGAAAUAAGGAUAUGUGGUGACUACAGAGUAACGGUGAACCAGGCCAUUGAAGUGGACCACUAUCCUUAACCACUUCCUGAGGACAUCUUUACGACCCUGGUUGGUGGAACCGUGUUUACAGUUUUAGACCUCUCUAGGGCCUACCUACAGCUCGAGCUGGACGAGCGAGCGCAAGCGCUGCUCACGGUAAACACACAUAUGGGCCGUUUUAGGCUCCAGCGGUUACCAUAUGGCGCAGCAAGUGCACCCGCCAUGUUCCAGGCCGUGAUGAACCAGGUUUUGCAAGGCAUUCCUGGUGCUGCCUGUUACUUGGACGACGUGCUGAUUGCUGGCGUAGACCAAGCAGAGUGCUACAGUCGCACAGAGCAAGUGUUAAAGGCACUGAGUAAACACGGCAUCAGGGUGAACGCAACGAAAUGCAAUUUUUUUCAAGAACGAGUUCAGUACCUGGGACACGAGCUAGAUAACCAGGGUCUGCAUUCCACAGCAGACAAGGUGAAGGCCAUUCGAGAUGCGCCAAAACCCAGUAAUGUGACAGAGCUUAAAGCCUUUUUAGGCUUCGUAAACUUCUACGCAAAAUUUUUGCCAAAUCUUGCAAAUUCGCUAGAGCCUCUCCACCAGCUACUACGCAAGGGCAACGUAUGGAACUGGUCGAGCCAGUGUGACGAGUGUUUCAUACGUCUUAAAGAGCUGCUCAGCCGCAACAUGGUUCUAGAGCUGUAUGAUGUGAAAAAAGAAAUACAGCUGACAUGUGACGCCUCGGCGUAUGGUUUUGGUGCGGUUUUGUCGCACGUGGUCGAUGGCGUAGAAAAACCGAUAGCGUUUGCGUCACGAUCUAUGACUCCAGCAGAGCGUAACUAUGCGCACAUUGAAAAGGAAGCGCUGGCCAUCGUCUUUGAAAUAAAAAAAUUCCAUAAGUAUCUGUAUGGACGCACCUUCACCGUAGUAACACAUCAUCAGCCACUUGCGGUGAUGUUCGGUGCAAAACACCAUAGCAGUGCAGUAGCGGCUGCUAGAGUGCACCGUUGGGUCAUAUUAUUGUCAAAGUAUCAGUUCCGCAUUCGGCACAAAGCUGGGAAAAAAAAAUUACCAACACCGAUGGCUUGUCCCGCCUUCCGUUGUCUGAAACCGCCAAUGACAACGAGGAAAUUUUUACUUUUCAACUGUUAGGGAACUGCCGAUAACCGCUAAAGUUAUUGAACGAGAAACCGCGAAAGACGCGAUCUUGAGUGCUGUGCGCGAAAUGACGUGGCACGGUUGGCCGCGAUCUGUUAACGAACGGCUGCAGCCUUUCUUUGUUAGGCGCUUUGAACUUUCUGUGGAUGACGGGUGCUUAAUUUGGGCCAACAGAGUGGUGGUACCACAAACUUUGCAAAAGGAAGUUGUGUCUUUGCUGCACGAACAGCAUAUUGGUAUUACCAAAAUGAAGGCACUAGCAAGGUCCAUGGUCUGGUGGCCAGGGAUUGACAGCUGUCUUGAACAGAUUGUGAGACAGUGUGACAUCUGUCAAAGUGUUAGAUCAGUGGGGCAGCCAGCACCCUUGACCCUUUGGAGGUGGUGCACGAACAGUUGGGAGAGAGCACAUCUCCACUUUGCUCAAAAAGAGCACAACAUGUUCCUUGUGGCUGUAGAUUCGUACUCGAAAUGGGUAGAGGUAAAAAUCAUGAGCUACACUACGGCUGAAAAGACGGUGGAAACAGUGCGGUCAUUGUCUGCAAGUCAUGGGUUACCAUGUGAGGUAGUAACAGAUAAUGGGCCGCAAUUCCGAGCAAAGGAAUUCGAAGAUUGUUUGUCAGCUAACGGUGUUAAGCACACCCUCACGAAGCCGUAUUAUUCGCAGUCUAAUGGUUCAGCAGAACGCGCGGUACAAACUGUAAAGCAGUCGCUGCUGAAGCAGUUGUUAGAAGAUAAAAGAAACAAAACUUCCAGGACCCUUCAACACGAAGUUGAUAACUUUCUUUUUGGGUACCGAACGACUCCACAUAACUUUACUGGGAAAACACCAGCAGAAUUAUUUUUUAAGCGCAAGUUGCGCACAAGGUUAUCCUUCUUGAAACCAAGUCUUGAGGCCAAAGUUAUGGCCAAAUCGGAGAGGGAGGUUUGUCGAGCAAAUAAGCGUCGUGACCUGCCACGUGUGUUUUGCGCUGGUGAUUCUGUGCUUGUACGUACUGUCCGUGGUGAGAUUGUGAAGUGGCGCCCAGGAAAAAUUGUUAAAGUCCGCAAUGACGUACUUGGUAAUGGUUGACAAACAAAAGCGUUUUGUACACGCGGAUCACCUGCGGCGUUCCUCACUAAAGCCUGAGCAUGAUGAUGAAGCCCGUACUGAGUUGCCACAUGCCAGUGAUAUAUGUGAGACUGAGCGUCAUGUUGCAUUUCCUGAAAGAGCUCCAUCGCCAGGACCAUGUGAUGACGCGCCGGUGCCUAGGCGAAGCACGCGUGUCACAAGGAAGCUGGAACGGUUGAUGUACGAUAAACUGUAGAACUGUGUGUGUGUGUGAAGGGGGGGGAAGUGUUGUAUCAGCGAUUUCGUAUUCUACGCUGGCCUUGUCAUGUAUCAGCAGUGCGGAGCGCACGUUAUCGCCUGCCGUGAUAAGCAGCGCCGCCGGGUAAUCUUUUAUUCGUUUUUACUUAUAUAAGAGAUACGCGAACUGUAUGCACAGCAGAUGCUGUCUGGCAAUAAACGUGUUAAAACAGACUGCGUUGGCUUGCGAAGCGGUAUUUUCACAAAAGUAAACUUAAUGCUUCCUGUUUGGAAAGUUUGCAAGCUCCGCCAAAAUAUGUAUUUAUGUAGCAAUGGCAGAUCCAGAAAAUCCAGCCGCGCCAAAGGCCAACCAUACCAUCAAAACCACGGAUUCAUCGAAGGUGCAGGUCAUACUGGUUACGCUGGGCGGUACAGGACCUCACGUGUUCAGCGACGCAGGAUCGGCUGCCAUGAGCGGCACGGGAGACAUUACUGGAAUGAAGACUGCUGUCAUCGAAUUUGAGAAUUUCGAGCCCAUCAACGUUUCCAUCGAGACGGGCAUGAAGAAAAGCGCAUUGAAGUGGGGAAUCUAGUUGGCAUGGCCACGAAAAACCGAUUAACAAGAUUUGGGAUAUUCAGUGAAGCCAAUUCAAAAGCCCUCGGCUGAUUACUUUGAUGAAAAAAACGAUGGUCGUGAAUUUAACCUAACGGGGAAUAGGUACCAUAUAUGAUAAUAAAUAUCGAAAUCAUUGAGUUUUUUA
rnacentral:misc_RNA from 1 species